AGAGUUUGAUCCUGGCUCAGAGCGAACGUUAGCGGCAUGCCUUACACAUGCAAGUCGAACGCGAAAGGGGGCAACCCCGAGUAGAGUGGCGAACGGGUGAGCAAUACAUCGGAACGUGUCCUGUAGCGGGGGACAACCUCGAGAAAUCGAGGCUAAUACCGCAUACGAUCUACGGAUGAAAGUGGGGGACCGCAAGGCCCCACACUAUAGGAGCGGCCGAUGCCGGAUUAGCUAGUUGGUGGGGUAAAAGCCUACCAAGGCGACGAUCCGUAGCUGGUUUGAGAGAACGACCAGCCACACUGGGACUGAGACACGGCCCAGACUCCUACGGGAGGCAGCAGUGGGGAAUUUUGGACAAUGGGCGAAAGCCUGAUCCAGCCAUGCCGCGUGAGUGAAGAAGGCCUUCGGGUUGUAAAGCUCUUUCGGCGGGGACGAAAUUGCGCGGGGUAACAUCCCGCGUAGAUGACGGUACCCGAAGAAGAAGGACCGGCUAACUACGUGCCAGCAGCCGCGGUAAUACGUAGGGUCCAAGCGUUAAUCGGAAUUACUGGGCGUAAAGCGUGUGCAGGCGGUUUCGAAAGUCCGAUGUGAAAUCCCCGAGCUUAACUUGGGAACUGCGUUGGAAACUACGAGGCUAGAGUGCGGCAGAGGGGGGUGGAAUUCCAGGUGUAGCAGUGAAAUGCGUAGAGAUCUGGAGGAACACCGAUGGCGAAGGCAGCCCCCUGGGUUAGCACUGACGCUGAGACACGAAAGCGUGGGGAGCAAACAGGAUUAGAUACCCUAGUAGUCC
rnacentral:rRNA from 1 species